UACGUAGGGUGCAAGCGUUAAUCGGAAUUACUGGGCGUAAAGCGUGCGCAGGCGGCUAUGCAAGACAGAUGUGAAAUCCCCGGGCUCAACCUGGGAACUGCAUUGUGACUGCAUGGCUAGAGUACGGCAGAGGGGAUGGAAUUCCGCGUGUAGCAGUGAAAUGCGUAGAUAUGCGGAGGAACACCGAUGGCGAAGGCAAUCCCCUGGGCCUGUACUGACGCUCAUGCACGAAAGCGUGGGAGCAAACAGG
rnacentral:rRNA from 1 species